UGAGGAAUAUUGGACAAUGGGUGGAAGCCUGAUCCAGCCAUCCCGCGUGUAGGAUGACGGCCUUAUGGGUUGUAAACUACUUUUAUCUGGGGAUAAACCUACUCACGUGUGAGUAGCUGAAGGUACCAGAAGAAUAAGCACCGGCUAACUCCGUGCCAGCAGCCGCGGUAAUACGGAGGGUGCAAGCGUUAUCCGGAUUUAUUGGGUUUAAAGGGUCCGUAGGCGGAUUAAUCAGUCAGUGGUGAAAUCCCGCAGCUUAACUGUGGAACUGCCAUUGAUACUGUUAGUCUUGAGUAAUGUUGAAGUUGCUGGAAUGUGUAGUGUAGCGGUGAAAUGCUUAGAUAUUACGCAGAACACCAAUUGCGAAGGCAGGUGACUAAACAUUAACUGACGCUGAUGGACGAAAGCGUGGGGAGCGAACAGG
rnacentral:rRNA from 1 species